UACGGAGGGGGCAAGCGUUGUUCGGAAUUACUGGGCGUAAAGGGCGCGCAGGCGGCUGCUCAAGUCAGGCGUGAAAGGCCUGGGCUCAACCCGGGAAUUGCGCUUGAGACUGGGCUGGCUUGAGUGCGGGAGAGGAUGGUGGAAUUCCCAGUGUAGAGGUGAAAUUCGUAGAUAUUGGGAAGAACACCAGUGGCGAAGGCGGCUAACUGGUCCGAUACUGACGCUGAGGUGCGAAAGCGUGGGGAGCAAACAGG
rnacentral:rRNA from 1 species